UUCUCAAUUUGUUGGAGAAAUAGCCCGUUUCAUCCAGAGAGGAGAAGAAAAAAAAAAAAGUUCUAAAAUACCUGAGGAGGUUUGUUCGCUUUAGUUCUCAGUGAAUGGUGCGGGCGGAAGUAUUAACAGGAGUUUACUUUUUGCAAACGGAAUCCUCUUCUUUUUGUUGUCCCUGAUGUGGAAGAUAGCGUCACACGGAAACGUCAUCCCGGACACCGAUUUCCGACUCAAUUCAUUCUUGUUUACGAACGAUCCGUCAAACGGAGACGAAGAAACGGAAAAAGAAGAGACGAAUGAUGUUUAUCUUUUUCCGUACAGACCCAAUUUACUCUUACUACUCCACUACGCUUCCAAUGAUUUUGAGGAAGAGAAGGAUUAGAAGAAACGGACAAGGACGUAGACUGACAUUUAAAAGUGUUAAAUUAAAAGCAAUAUUUUCUCUGUUUAUAGUCUGCAGCACUUAGCCUGUCUGUUUAUUAUUUUAAGUUUUGAGGAGCCUUUGCUUUGCUUUAUUGAUUAUGCUGCUAUUAAAAAAAGAUAUUGUUAUAAAA
rnacentral:lncRNA from 1 species